rnacentral:rRNA from 1 species
UACGGGGGGGGCAAGCGUUGUUCGGAAUUACUGGGCGUAAAGGGCUCGUAGGCGGCCAACUAAGUCGGACGUGAAAUCCCUCGGCUUAACCGGGGAACUGCUUCCGAUACUGGAUGGCUUGAAUCCGGGAGAGGGAUGCGGAAUUCCAGGUGUAGCGGUGAAAUGCGUAGAUAUCUGGAGGAACACCGGUGGCGAAGGCGGCAUCCUGGACCGGCAUUGACGCUGAGGCGCGAAAGCCAGGGGAGCAAACGGG